rnacentral:rRNA from 1 species
GACGUAGGGCGCGAGCGUUGUCCGGAUUUAUUGGGCGUAAAGAGCUCGUAGGCGGCUUGUCGCGUCGACUGUGAAAUCCCGCGGCUCAACUGCGGGUCUGCAGUCGAUACGGGCAGGCUAGAGUUCGGUAGGGGAGAUCGGAAUUCCUGGUGUAGCGGUGAAAUGCGCAGAUAUCAGGAGGAACACCGGUGGCGAAGGCGGUUCUCUGGGAAUAUCCUGACGCUGAGGAGCGAAAGCGUGGGUAGCAAACAGG